CUCAGUAACGGCGAGUGAAGCGGCAACAGCUCAAAUUUGAAAUCUGGCCCCAGGCCCGAGUUGUAAUUUGCAGAGGAUGCUUUUGGUGCGGUGCCUUCCAAGUUCCCUAGAACGGGACGCCAGAGAGGGUGAGAGCCCCGUACAGUUGGACACCAAGCCUUUGUAAAGCUCCUUCGACGAGUCGAGUAGUUUGGGAAUGCUGCUCAAAAUGGGAGGUAUAUUUCUUCUAAAGCUAAAUACCGGCCAGAGACCGAUAGCGCACAAGUAGAGUGAUCGAAAGAUGAAAAGCACUUUGAAAAGAGGGUUAAACAGCACGUGAAAUUGUUAAAAGGGAAGCGCUUGUGACCAGACUUGCGUCCGGUGAAUCACCCAGCUCUCGCGGCUGGGGCACUUCGCCGGCUCAGGCCAGCAUCAGCUCGCUGUCGGGGACAAAAGCUUCAGGAACGUAGCUCUCUUCGGGGAGUGUUAUAGCCUGUUGCACAAUACCCUUCGGCGGGCUGAGGUACGCGCUCCGCAAGGAUGCUGGCAUAAUGGUCAUCAGCGACCCGUCUUGAAACACGGACCAAGGAGUCAACCUUAUGUGCGAGUGUUCGGGUGUCAAACCCCUACGCGUAAUGAAAGUGAACGCAGGUGAGAGCUUCGGCGCAUCAUCGACCGAUCCUGAUGUUCUCGGAUGGAUUUGAGUAAGAGCAUAUAGGGUUGGACCCGAAAGAAGGUGAACUAUGCGUGUAUAGGGUGAAGCCAGAGGAAACUCUGGUGGAGGCUCGCAGCGGUUCUGACGUGCAAAUCGAUCGUCAAAUAUGCGCAUGGGGGCGAAAGACUAAUCGAACCUUCUAGUA
rnacentral:rRNA from 1 species